UACGUAGGGUGCAAGCGUUGUCCGGAAUUAUUGGGCGUAAAGAGCUCGUAGGCGGUCUGUCGCGUCUGCUGUGAAAACUCAGGGCUUAACCCUGAGCUUGCAGUGGGUACGGGCAGACUAGAGUGCGGUAGGGGGAGACUGGAAUUCCUGGUGUAGCGGUGAAAAUGCGCAGAUAUCAGGAGGGAAACACCGGUGGGCGAAAGGCGGGGUCUCUGGGGCCGUAACUGACGC
rnacentral:rRNA from 1 species